CUCCGAUGUGAUAAUUCUCGACGUCGGAGUAAGCCCCUCUCUCUACGUGAAUGGAAUGACUUGUGGGGGAUGUGCAGCGGGUAUGAAGAGAAUUUUGGAAAAUCAACAUUGGACAGCCUCAAGUAUCUGCUGCCAGCGUAAAUCUUACAACCGGGACAUCUAUUGUAUGGCCUGUAUCUGAAGCCAAGGCCAUGCCUAAUUGGCAAAAAGAGUUGGGAGAAACACUAGCAAAACACUUGACAAAUUGUGGCUUUAAGUCUAACCCUUGAGCAAGCAAUGGAUGAGGCUACUGAUGCUAUGAAUGGGAUGGACUUGGAUGGGAGAAAUAUCAUUGAGGAAAAAGCUCAGCCUCAAGGUUCAGGUAGAGACCAAGAUGGUGAUUGCAGUUGUGAUUGUGGCCCUAAUAGGGAUAGUGGUACUCGAGGAGGAUCAGGAAAUGACUGCUAAAUCAGGACUGCUCUGGUCCCUACGAACACCGUGGUACAGGAAACUUCUGUUUGGGGGAGAAAGAAUAUUCCUGAUAGCGCAAUUGGAGGUACUGCUGUUACUUGCUGGAGCCAAAGUCCCUUAUGUUGCAUCUCUCCUUUAUUGUUCUCUGGGUGGACAAAUCUGCUUGAUCAGUCUUUUGAUGUGCGAACUUUGGCUAAAAGAUUCAACUAUUUAAUGUCCGUGAA